GAUGAACGCUGGCGGCGUGCCUAAUACAUGCAAGUCGAGCGAACGGACGAGAAGCUUGCUUCUCUGAUGUUAGCGGCGGACGGGUGAGUAACACGUGGAUAACCUACCUAUAAGACUGGGAUAACUUCGGGAAACCGGAGCUAAUACCGGAUAAUAUUUUGAACCGCAUGGUUCAAAAGUGAAAGACGGUCUUGCUGUCACUUAUAGAUGGAUCCGCGCUGCAUUAGCUAGUUGGUAAGGUAACGGCUUACCAAGGCAACGAUGCAUAGCCGACCUGAGAGAGUGAUAGGCCACACUAGAAGUGAGACGCGGUCCAGACUCCUACGGGAGGCAGCAGUCGGGAAUCUUCCGCAAUGGGCGAAAGCCUGACGGAGCAACGCCGCGUGAGUGAUGAAGGUCUUCGGAUCGUAAAACUCUGUUAUUAGGGAAGAACAUAUGUGUAAGUAACUGUGCACAUCUUGACGGUACCUAAUCAGAAAGCCACGGCUAACUACGUG
rnacentral:rRNA from 1 species